rnacentral:rRNA from 1 species
CGUUGGAGUCCGCUCCAAUCUGGGAUAGAACCCUUGCCUUUGAGUACCUUUUCGUUUCCUCGGUGGGCUCGCCCGCCGGUGGACAACCAUAAACUCUUUGUAAUAGCAGUAUCUUCUGAGAAAAACAAAUAGUCAAAACUUUCAACAACGGAUCUCUUGGUUCUGGCAUCGAUGAAGAACGCAGCGAAAUGCGAUAAGUAGUGUGAAUUGCAGAAUUCAGUGAAUCAUCGAAUCUUUGAACGCACAUUGCGCCCUUCGGUAUUCCGUUGGGCAUGCCUGUUCGAGCGUCAUUUAAGCAUUCAAGCUCAGCUUGGUGUUGGGUGCUUGUCCUCCCCCGCGGUGGACUCACCUCAAAUGCAUUGGCGGCCGGUAUGUUGGCUUCGAGCGCAGUAGAAACGCGCCAGACGCCCUGACAUGCUGGUCCCCCACAAGACCACUCUUUAUAGCUUGACCUCGGAUCAGGUAGGGAUACCCGCUGAACUUAAGCAUAUCAAUAAGCGGAGGAAAAGAAACCAACAGGGAUUGCCCUAGUAACGGCGAGUGAAGCGGCAACAGCUCAAAUUUGAAAUCUGGCCCUUUCAGGGUCCGAGUUGUAAUUUGUAGAGGGCGCUUUGGUGUUGGCUGCGGUCUAAGUUCCUUGGAACAGGACGUCACAGAGGGUGAGAAUCCCGUACGUGGUCGACAGUCUUCACCGUGUAAAGCCCCUUCGACGAGUCGAGUUGUUUGGGAAUGCAGCUCUAAAUGGGAGGUAAAUUUCUUCUAAAGCUAAAUAUUGGCCAGAGACCGAUAGCGCACAAGUAGAGUGAUCGAAAGAUGAAAAGCACUUUGGAAAGAGAGUCAAAAAGCACGUGAAAUUGUUGAAAGGGAAGCGCUUGCAAUCAGACUUGCCUGUAGUUGCUCAUCUGGACUCUUGUCCGGUGCACUCUUCUGCGGGCAGGCCAGCAUCAGUUCAGGCGGCUGGAUAAAGGCCUCUAUCACGUAUCUUCCUUCGGGAUGACCUUAUAGGGGAGGUGUAAUGCAGCCAGCCUGGAUUGAGGUCCGC